GACGAACGCUGGCGGCGUGCCUAGUACAUGCAAGUAGAACGCUGAAGAGAGGAGCUUGCUCUUCUUGGAUGAGUUGCGAACGGGUGAGUAACGCGUAGGUAACCUGCCUUGUAGCGGGGGAUAACUAUUGGAAACGAUAGCUAAUACCGCAUAACAAUGGAUGACACAUGUCAUUUAUUUGAAAGGGGCAAUUGCUCCACUACAAGAUGGACCUGCGUUGUAUUAGCUAGUAGGUGAGGUAAUGGCUCACCUAGGCGACGAUACAUAGCCGACCUGAGAGGGUGAUCGGCCACACUGGGACUGAGACACGGCCCAGACUCCUACGGGAGGCAGCAGUAGGGAAUCUUCGGCAAUGGGGGCAACCCUGACCGAGCAACGCCGCGUGAGUGAAGAAGGUUUUCGGAUCGUAAAGUUCUGUUGUAAGUCAAGAACGGGUGUGAGAGUGGAAAGUUCACACUGUGACGGUAGCUUACCAGAAAGGGACGGCUAACUACGUG
rnacentral:rRNA from 1 species